AUUUAUAUAGUAUAAAUAGUAUAUAUGACUUCCAAUUAUAAGGUUUAUUUUAAUAAUAAUAUAAAUA
rnacentral:tRNA from 1 species